CUCGGGUCGCCCCGCCCCCAGACCCAAACCACGCGAGGUCUCGAGGGUCCCGGGACGCGGCUUCAGAAAGAGGAAGCCCGGGAAACCGGUUUCCGCGUUGCAGCUGCUAUCCAGCGCUCCCUGGCCGGUCCCAGAACCGAGACCUGGGCGCUAGGUGCAGCUGCUCUGCGGUGCCCGCUGCUGUGUGGGCGCCUGUACGUCAGUCAGGGCAGGCGGCGCCGGGAGCGGACCGAGGGCUGCCCGGCGGAAGGGCUCUGUCCGCGGCUGCGGGCCUUAAGAACGUGCGGGCCGCCUCCGUUGUGGGCCUCCCGGAUCGCUCCAUCUGCGGCGCCCGGCCCCAGGUCCCAGCUGUGACGGGCCCACGUGGCAGUCUCGCAAGGUUCGCUUUCUGCCGUACCAAGCAGGAAUUUCAGCACCCGAAAAUCUCCUACAUGGGCUAGGCAGAUUCUUCACCAUCUGAGCCACCAGGGAAGCCCAGAGCUCCCUCAGCCCUCCUGCCUGCCAUGUGAGGACACAAAGAAGAUGGCAGUCUGAAUCCAGAACUGCACCUCAUUUGCUGUGAGCAUCCGAGCGUGGCAGCCGCCCUGAAGUUCAUCAUCAGAUCCUACUCACCCAGGGAUUCAUCUAUAAUGGUCCCUGGAAAGGCUUUUAUAAUUUGCAUUUUUCAAUUGUAUCAAAGUCACAUGUGUCAUGAUGAAUAAAAGCCAAAUCUUGCUAUAGAACUGAAACCAUCAACAGUUCCUUCACCCAUCCUUCCUUAUCCCUGACCCACUCUCCUCACUACUCCUUUAAAAAUGCUUAGGACGCUCAUUUCUUUUUCUAAAGUCACAGGUUAACUGCUGUGUCACAUGCGGACACUCUUCUCCUCUUCGAACAGCAGAUGUGGAGAUGGUUCACUUACCUCACUGCUCCUGCUCCCCUGCGUUUACCCUUUUGCAUUUAUGUCUCCUACUACCAUUUCCGUCUUUAGGACCAUCUGUGUCAGCCCUCGUCUCCUGUUGCAGCCUCGUACUCCCUUCCACUGACCCUUUACCUCUUCCCUUCCCAC
ensembl:lncRNA